AGCAUGCAGCAGAAAUGUUGUUGGGUGUCUCAGCGUUACGCUUCAUUAACUGGAAUCCGCAUGCAUGUCAAGCGAAAGUUGCAGAUGACAUUGGUGCCCAUCAGCUGAAGCGCUUGGUGGAGUUGCUGACGUCCAAGGAGUGCGAGGACCUUCUGUCCGUCCUCUCCCGCCCCGAGGAAAACAUCUUUCAGCGCGUUGAGCGUCUCUCCCCGGAAACGAAUCAGCUAGAACCUCGAGCCUCGAAACCGCGAGCCAAGAGAGAAGCCUCAACCGCUGCAGGCGAUGAGGCUCGGUGCCGCGCGGGCCUGACGGACUGGAUGCUCAGGCACGGCGAGCAGACCUACUAUGACAGGCUCGCUCGCGCCUUGCAGCACAUCGGCAGAACUGAUGUGGCCGUUGAAGUGGGGAAGAACAUCAACCAGGACAAAGUCCUGAAGAUUAAACGCUACGUUGAAGAUUACCACGAAUAUGUGAAGUCUUUAAACAUCCCGCUGGAACAACCAGCCUCAGAUGACCGACAGCAUGACGCCCACACGGUCAGAAAAAGAAGAG
ensembl:lncRNA